rnacentral:rRNA from 1 species
UACGUAGGGGGCAAGCGUUGUCCGGAAUCAUUGGGCGUAAAGAGCGCGUAGGCGGUCCGGUAAGUCCGCUGUGAAAGUCAAGGGCUCAACCCUUGAAUGCCGGUGGAUACUGUCGGGCUAGAGUCCGGAAGAGGCGAGUGGAAUUCCUGGUGUAGCGGUGAAAUGCGCAGAUAUCAGGAGGAACACCGAUGGCGAAGGCAGCACUCUGGGACGUGACUGACGCUGAGACGCGAAAGCGUGGGGAGCAAACAGG